GGUGAAUGCUGGCGGCGUGGAUGAGGCAUGCAAGUCGAAUGAAUUUAGAUUCAUGGCAGACGAGGUAGGAACACGUAGGUACGUACCCCAAAGUCAGGGAUAAUCCGUCGAAAGGCGGGAUAAUACUUGAUGGUCCCGUAAGGGUAAAGAUUUAUCGCUUUGGGAACGGCCUGCGGUCUAUCAGCUUGUUGGUAAGGUAA
rnacentral:rRNA from 1 species